rnacentral:rRNA from 1 species
GUAGGUGGCGAGCGUUGUCCGGAAUUAUUGGGCGUAAAGCGCGCGCAGGCGGUCCUUUAAGUCUGAUGUGAAAGCCCACGGCUCAACCGUGGAGGGUCAUUGGAAACUGGGGGACUUGAGUACAGAAGAGGAAAGCGGAAUUCCAAGUGUAGCGGUGAAAUGCGUAGAGAUUUGGAGGAACACCAGUGGCGAAGGCGGCUUUCUGGUCUGUAACUGACGCUGAGGCGCGAAAGCGUGGGGAGCAAACAGGAUUAGAUACCCUGGUAGUCCGCGCCGUAAACGAUGAGUGCUAAGUGUUAGGGGGUUUCCCGCCCCCCUUAGUGCUGCAGCUAACGCAUUAAGCACUCCGCCUGGGGAGUACGGCCGCAAGGCUG